GAUGAACGCUAGCUACAGGCUUAACACAUGCAAGUCGAGGGGCAGCAUGAUUAUUGCUUGCAAUAAUUGAUGGCGACCGGCGCACGGGUGAGUAUCGCGUAUCCAACUUUCCCAUAACUAGGGGAUAAUCCGUCGAAAGGCGGUCUAAUACUCUAUGUUGUCUAUUUAUGGCCUCAUAUUUAGACGAAAGAUUUAUCGGUUAUGGUUAGGGAUGCGUCCGAUUAGGUAGUAGGCGGGGUAACAGCCCACCUAGCCUACGAUCGGUAGGGGUUCUGCGAGGAAGGUCCCCCACAUUGGAACUGAGACACGGUCCAAACUCCUACGGGAGGCAGCAGUGAGGAAUAUUGGUCAAUGGACGAGAGUCUGAACCAGCCGAGUAGCGUGCAGGAUGACGGCCCUAUGGGUUGUAAACUGCUUUUAUGCGGGAAUAAAGUGAUUUACGUGUAUUUCAUUGCAUGUACCGCAUGAAUAAGGACCGGCUA
rnacentral:rRNA from 1 species